GCAGGGCAGUGUCAGGGAGGCGUCCUGCCUCGGGGUGCAUCUGCAGGGCACAAAAGUCCCCCGGACUUCAGGGCUGUCAGUGUGAGAUUCUUCAACAGAUCUUUCAAAUGAGAAGGGGACAACACUGAGGCUCUGAAACUGAGGAAAGGGCCACAAGGAACAGGUGCACGCCCGCAGCAAGUGCAAAACAGGGACACUAAUGCCUGUCCUUACCUGACAAAGGGCAGUUCUUCACCCAAAUCAACCCACUCCUACUGACUACCUGGCCUUGGGGUCUAGAGAUGUGGGACAUCAUCAACACACUGAAGGAGACUCCUGUGAGGACCAGCUACUUCACAGCUCCCAAAUGCUGCCCGCUUCAUCACAACCAGGAAUUUAAGAAGCCACAAGAAGGAAAACUGAAGAAGCUCCUUUCCGUAUGACUGCUACAGAUGGGUGAUGAGAGGAAAGCAGAAGUUCAAACACUGGUGGGAAACUGCCUUGACAUCAGCAGAAUCAAGGGCCAGAAGACUUACAGGAUCGAAUGAACCCACUCUAAGUUGUUCUAACAAUAAACAAUUAACUUUGGACUGGUGCCUUUGAAGAACAGUAGCCUCAGCUGAAGAGGUCUAUAAACCAUGUGUAAAGCUCACUAAUGAGUAAGCAUUAAACAACACCAACCACAAAAAGCCCUCUCCCUACAUGGUAUCCAGCUCUGUUCUCUUGGAGUAUUCUGCAUAGAACAGCAAUACUGCAAUGAAUAAUUUUUCUCAUGGUGAUGAAUACAUAAUUAGAGAAUAAAUGCAUCUCAAUCUUUCAGAGCAGAG